rnacentral:misc_RNA from 1 species
GAACGAUGUGGCACGAGGCGCGGCGAUCGGAGCGGAAGGUGCACGACCUCAUGGACGCGGCCCGCCGCCGCGCGCAGCGCCGGGCCGUGUUCCUCGCCAAGCGCCGCGGCGAUCCCCACCAGUCGAUCCAAGUCGCCGGCGCUCGCUGCCGCGUCCACCGCGACGACGGCCUCUACCAGGCGGCCCAGGACCAGCAAGGACUAAUACCGUGGAAUGGAAAGCAGAAUAUUUUGAUUGACAGAUUU